CACCGCGGUUAUACGAGAGGCUCAAGUUGAUAAACACCGGCGUAAAAUGUGGUUAACAUAUUGUUGUACUAAAGCUAAACAUCUUCAAAGCUGUUAUACCCACAUGAAGACAGGAAAACCUUCUACGAAAGUGGCUUUAAACUAAUGCUAACCCACGAAAACUAGGAAA
rnacentral:rRNA from 1 species